AGGGGAUAGAGUGAAAUUAUAAGCUGCCUCACAGAGGAGACCUUUGUGCCCAUACGUGGGUGAUAUGAAGGAAUGAAACUAGGAAGUUAAGGGAUAGAGAAGAGGAACGGCUUUCCAGGCUGAAAGAAAAACUGCCAUAAACCUAGAGAUGUGGAUGCCCCUGCCGUGUUGAGAAACAGCAAAAGGCCAGUAUGGCUGAGCAUUGUCAGCCUGCCAGAGAGCAGGAAUAGUUAGGCUCAAAAGGUGGGCAAGUAGCCAGAUCCUGUGGAGCCUAUGGGUCAUUAUAAGAGCAACAGGAAGGUCUGGGAGGAGGGUGAGUCCAGGAAUGACUACAUCUGAUUCAUGUUUUUAAAAGUCUUGCUGUGUGUGUGUGUGUGUGAGAGAGAGAAGUACACAAUGGAGAAUCACAAAGGCCCACAGGAGACCAGCAAGGAGGCUUUUCUUGUUAGCUUGAGCUAGGAUGGCAGCAGAGUACAAGGUGAGAAAAGGGCUGCUUUGUAAUGUGUUUUAUUCGUUUUAGUUUUAUUUAGAUACCUUUUGAUUGCAGUGGAUUUGGACUUGGACAGUAUGUGAGGAAACAAUAAGAUCACGAUUCUUAGAUUCAGGGCCUGAUGGCUGGGUUAAUAGUGGAAGAGUGACUAGAGAAGCAUAGUGUGGACAGUACUAAGGACUCUUGAAUUGGUGGUCAUAAAGUGAGACCACACAGUGUGGUGGCUGGAUUUUCCUCCAGCCACCCUCCAUUGCUUGGGACUUGGAGGAGACUUGGAUUUGAUCAGGGCUGGGUUUUGCUGGUGAAAGUCAAUGGGAGGGGUCAAUUACCCAAGGAAGUGAUUAUAGAAAUAGAUCUUGGAAUCUGAACUGGGAGGGAAGAGAAAGCAAGUAAAAAGUGGUGGUCCCUGUGGGAAGAAACGCAGAGGAAGCAAUCCAAUGAGUGAGGGCCAGGGGACUUUCCAAGGAUCAAGCAUGGGGAAGUAAGGCCAUCAGGGAAGAGGAAGCACAAAGUAUCUGUGAGGGAAAAAGCGUUCCAGCUGGCACCAAAGAGCUAGGGAAACAGCAAAGCCUUUGGGCUCCAGUCCUCAUCCUGGUGUGUGAACAGGGAGACACUGAAGGGCCCGACUGCCUACUAGUACUCUGUAGGUAACUGCACAGACCAGGGAGAAACUGAACGCUGAACGGGUUAAGCCAGGCAGAUACAGCCUAGGCUGUUCUAUAAACACUGGGAGACCCACUGGAUAUUUCGCUUUCCCCACACCAUGGACACACUCUUACCUAGUGUUUGAUCGAAGCUAAAAAAUAUCUUUCCUCCAAUGUUGGGUUCUUCCUCCUCUUGACUUUCCCUUUGCUGCUCAUAGCACCCUCUUCUCAGUCACUGAGCUGUCAAAGCCUCCACAUCCUUUAAUUUUUCUUCCUCACCCCUAUGCCCAAUUAGUCCCCAAAGUGUGUUGUGAUCUGCACAAUCCAAUUGUUCUGCCAUGAUGGAAAUGUUCUUUAUCUGCAAUGGUCCACAUGUAGCUAAUGAGCACUUGAAAUGUGACCAAUACAAUGAGGUACUGAAUUCCAAAUCUUGAAUAAUUUUAAUUAAAUUUAGAUUUAAAUAGCUGCAUAAGCUAAGGGCUACCUGUGUAGCACAGUUAUAGAUAUUUCCUACCCAAUGGCUCUUCCAUCUGCUCCUUCCUCUGAAGCUACAUUGCCAUAAUUCUAGUAUUGAUUUUUUUUUAACCCAGGGGCACUUAACCACUGAGCAACAUCACCAGCCCCUUUUUUUGUAUUUUAUUUGAGACAAGGGUCUCACCAAGUUGCUUAGGGCCUCAAAAAGUUGCUGAGGAGGCUGGCUUUGAACUCACAAUCCUCCUGCCUCAGUCUCCCAAACCUCUGGGAUUAUAGGUGUGUGCUAUCAUGCCCAGCUAGAUCAGGUAUUGAUUUACUCCUAAUCUAAACUUUUGUUUUACUUCUGUUUGGACUCCUGCUUAGUUGCUUUUCCAUCAGUCCAUCUUAUGUUCUUGCUAAAAUCGUCUUCCUAAGCAAUGAUCAUAUCAUGACUCCACCUAUUCUAGAAGUUAUUAGUAGUUCCCUAUCAAAUUAAGCACAAACACUUCACUCUGACACUUACCCAGUUAUGUAUCUCCCCCCACUUUUCCAGUCUUACAUUUCACCAUACCCUUAUAUGUAAAGUGAACUACUUGCUAUUAUUCUAUCAGUUUAUUAAACUCUGUCUGCCACAGAUGCCUCCAAUUCCCUCUACCAGAACCCAAAUCUGUUGAAGGCCUGUCCCAUAUCACAGCUCCUACCUGGAGCCUUUUCUAAUUUCCUCCUCCUCUGAAGUCCCCACAGUUUCUAUUUCUACUUACCUGUGGUAUAUUUUGUGUAUUCCUUAUAUUCCUGUUACUAAAUGACACUCCUUGCAGGUCACUGCAUGUUAAUUGUAUUUGUACCUCUUGCAAUGUUAGUCCUGCACCUUAUGAAAUAGCCACCAAAUGAAACAUAUGCUUUGUUGAAACUUUGCUGUUAUGAAAGUAUUUCUUUUCUUGUUAUUACUGGCUGAGAAUUUCUUCCAGAUGCUUCCCCAACUUAGGAUACCUUGGCAAUUCCAUUAGAGCUUGUAAUCCUAGACAGUGUGGGUAUACUUAGAACUGGCAGGACCAGCAUAGCCACUUCCAGGAUCAAUUUGUGGGAAAGGCCUUUAAGAAGCGGAUUUGUAUCAGAUUGUGAUAUAAAUCAAUAAAAAGAGCUUUCUAUCUAAUAAAUGUUUAGAAAAUGUAUUUUUAGAGCUUGAACUGUUAGAAGCCUGUAACCCAAGAGUAGGAUUACAUAGGCUAUGCCGGGCAAUAUUUGAUGUACUUUUCCUAUUGGCACAAUAGAAUUUAAGAAUUUGAAAAGCAGGUAUAGUAUUUUAAAUAAUUAAUUAAUUAAUUUUUGCAGUGCUGGAUAUCAAACUUAAGACCCUGAGCAUGCCAGGCAAGUAUUGCACCACUGAGUUCCAUCCCAUUCCGUUUUUAAACAAAAUGUACCUUAUACACUGAGGACCUUAUGCACAUUUAUUCAAUACACCUUAGCAGAGGCUUGCCAUUUACCAAGGACUUCUGCUUGUUGCUGAGGAUACAAAGAUAGGAAAGAUAUGAUUCCUGCCUUCAAGAACAUAUGGUAAAGACAGGACCUGGCUUUGGCAUGCAUUUUUACAGUUUCAGGAUGAUUCCAGUUAUCAAAAAACAUUAAAUUCAGUAUUAUUAGCCUCAUUUUUAGAGGGAAAAACUUGUUUGGAGAGAUUCAAUAAAUUUGUACAAAAUCACAGAGCUAGUAAUUGGCAAGGCCUCAAAGAGGUACCUGAAUCUUCAGGUAUCAAAACAUUGGUUGAAUUAAAAUGUAAGUUCCUUGAAAAUAGCAAGUUGAUCCAUUUUUCUCAUUGCUAUAUUCUCAGUGAAUAUGAGUGCUGAGAAUGAAAGAGAAAGAACAUGAGAAUAUAAGCCAGCCAUCUAAGUCAUUAGUUAUUUGUUUAUUUUAAUUAAUUAUGUGCUGAGCUGAUAUUACCGAUAUUAGUGCUAACGUAAAAUGUGGUCCACAGAUUGGUACUAAUGCACAAAUUGUUUAUUACCAGUGAAUCUUGAGAUUAGCACAGAAAAUGAGCAAACAUUUAGGAUCUCUUUUGGCAACUUGGCGUUACUGUGACAUCUCAGCAAGUGAUCAGUGGUCUUGUCUCAUUGAACCUGGAGACAGGUAAGUUCAGGUGUCCAACUUGGAUAGGGAGUCCAUAUGGCAUACUCUGUGUACUAGUAAUACUGCAUCUAAUUCAGUCCCACCCUUUAGGCUAUUUACCACCCACCUGCUCCACCUCCUGGAGAUUCUUUACUAUGUAACCAAGAGAAUGCUUCCUGUCUUUGAAGUGAAAGUCCCAACAGAUUUGAAUUUUUUUAAAAAACUGCUCUUCACCUCAGAAGUUAGAUCUACUAAUCUUAUGAUGUGGAGACAUUGUUGUGCAGUAAUUAUGUAUAUGAUCCCUGGAAUGAGAUGACAUAGGUUUAAAUGCAGGUUCUGCUACUUACCAACUGCUUCCGCAAAUUGCUUAAUCUCUUGCAGCCUCAGUGUUAUUAUCUGUAAUAUGUACUUUAAAAAGUCUAAAAUUUCAGAGGGCCUUCAUAAAAAACUAUGAAAGGUAAUGCAGUUUACAGAAACUUGAACAUGAUGAAAUGUUAUAAUAAAUAUUUUCCUUAUUCUGGAUCAUAAAAAUUUAUGAUAUUUGCAAAGUUUUUCAAAACCUUCACAAUAGAGAUGAUUCUAUCAAUAUCCAACCUUGUAAAUAAACAAUCACUUUCAGUUAUAAACAUUGUUAAAAGAUAAUACAUAUCAGCUAAUUCCAAAAGUUCUUUAUUUUGUAUUUGUUUAAUGGGGGAUUGAACCCAGGAGCAUUCAACUAUUGAGCUACAUCUCCAGCCCUAUUUAUUUAUUUAUUUAUCUAUCUAUCUAUCUAUCUAUCUAUCUAUUUAUUUAAAUUUUGAAAUAGGACCUUGCAAGUUACCCAGGCUGGUCUUGAACUACAAUGUGAUCUUCCUACCUGAGCCUCCUGAGUAGUUAGGAUUAUAGGCACGCGCCAUUUUACCCAGCAAUAUUUGUUUUUUAAUGCAUGAUAUGAUAUGAGGGACACUACAUUUAGUUUCUAGGUGUCCAUUAAAAGCAGUUAUUUCUUCAGCUCAGCUUGUCUGUAGGUGAAAGAAGGCAGCCAGGCAGGUGCAUGUGUACAUUGCAUGAAAGCAUGAGGGUAGAGCUCAGUGGUAGCAUAUAUGCUCAGCAUGUGCAAGACCCUAGGUUUAAUCCCCAACAACACACACACACACACACACACACGGAGUUAUUUGAUGGCAUAUAUGUUGCCUACUUAUAUAUAAAUUCAAAAGACUUCAUAUGCAGACUCUUUUCUGCUGAACUCUAUCCUGCUCAUUCUUCUCCAUUUCCUUCUGUGAACUUUGUCAUCUGGAAGAAAGCAGCUACUCACCCAUGCAGCUCCGCAACUCCUAGAAAGAGUCAAGGAUUCCUGCACCAGAGAGGCUAGAUAAUGAUGAGCACCAGGCAGGCAGGACACACUGGCUGAAAAGAGAGCCCUGUGUAGGCAGAGAGCCAGAAUGUCAAAAGUAAGCAGUCCUUUUUUAUCUGGAAGGAAAAGCUUGCACUUAUCUGUACUAUU
rnacentral:lncRNA from 1 species